GCUUACGGACAAUAGUUCUCAGACAGGUUUAUGACAUGUGAUUGUACUCACGGAAACUGUAGAAUCUAGUGUCUGGGCAUAUCACUGAGUUGGUCAUUAUGGCCACCAUCUCCUGAGCGCCCCUCCAAGACCCUGUCCUCUACCAAUUGCUAGUCUCACCCUUCAUACACCCCAGAGUCAACAAGAACUAUUUUCUGAAUUCAGAUAAAGUGUUUUCAUCUCUGUUCUAAGGAUGAGACAAAUGUGGUAAAAUGUUUAUAAUGAAGGCACAGAGGUUCUACAAGUUUCCAUGGACCACCACGUUGAAAGGACACAGCAACCCUGGCCCAGUGAAGUUGAGAAGGAGGACAGCCAUGGGAAGAGGAGGAGACGAGAGAAGAAUCCUGCGAUCCACAGGAGUUUACUAUGAACAAAAUACUAGUGCCUGAACAAAUGAGUGUAGACUGAAUGCUGUGUCCUACUGUGCAAGGGUUGUACGGACUCUCAGACUCACAGAG